GGGCCUAUAGCUCAGUGGCAGAGCAGGGGGCUCAUAACCUCUUGGUUGUAGGUUCGAAUCCUACUGGGCCCACAA
rnacentral:tRNA from 1 species